GACGAACGCUGGCGGCGUGCUUAACACAUGCAAGUCGAGCGGAAAGGCCCUUUCGGGGGUACUCGAGCGGCGAACGGGUGAGUAACACGUGAGUAAUCUGCCCUGUGCUUUGGGAUAGCCACCGGAAACGGUGAUUAAUACCGGAUAUGACCAGCUGUCGCAUGAUGGUUGGUGGAAAGUUUUUCGGCGCAGGAUGUGCUCGCGGCCUAUCAGCUUGUUGGUGGGGUAAUGGCCUACCAAGGCUUCGACGGGUAGCCGGCCUGAGAGGGUGACCGGCCACACUGGGACUGAGACACGGCCCAGACUCCUACGGGAGGCAGCAGUGGGGAAUAUUGGACAAUGGGCGGAAGCCUGAUCCAGCAACGCCGCGUGAGGGAUGACGGCCUUCGGGUUGUAAACCUCUUUCAGCACCGACGAAGCGAGAGUGACGGUAGGUGCAGAAGAAGGACCGGCCAACUACGUGCCAGCCGCCGCGGUAACAC
rnacentral:rRNA from 1 species